CCGUGAGAGAAGCGAGCUGCAUGAAAGCAAGUUUUCUUUAUUUUUCAGGAAGUCAGAUCAAGCGAAGUCAUGGACCAGCAUUCCUAGGUGAGCUGACAUCGUUACAAGGUACAAUUGCUGAAAUGGACUGUGGCAUAUAAAGACAUAUAAAAAUAACAACACCCCUUCAUUAUAUUUAUGUUGCAUUCAAUUUUGGAACUACCACAAUCAUACCAGUAAUAUCAGAAACAUCAGCAAGAAAUUCACAAGAUGGGUCAUCUACCAAUAAAUUACUUCUAAAUGA